CCUGGCUCAGGACGAACGCUGGCGGCGUGCCUAAUACAUGCAAGUCGAGCGAAUCAAUAGGAGCUUGCUCCUGUUGGUUAGCGGCGGACGGGUGAGUAACACGUGGGCAACCUGCCUGUAAGACUGGGAUAACUUCGGGAAACCGGAGCUAAUACCGGAUAAUCCUUUCCCUCUCAUGAGGGAAAGCUGAAAGUCGGUUUACGCUGACACCUACAGAUGGGCCCGCGGCGCAUUAGCUAGUUGGUGAGGUAACAGCUCACCAAGGCGACGAUGCGUAGCCGACCUGAGAGGGUGAUCGGCCACACUGGGACUGAGACACGGCCCAGACUCCUACGGGAGGCAGCAGUAGGGAAUCUUCCGCAAUGGACGAAAGUCUGACGGAGCAACGCCGCGUGAGCGAUGAAGGCCUUCGGGUCGUAAAGCUCUGUUGUUAGGGAAGAACAAGUACCGGAGUAACUGCCGGUACCUUGACGGUACCUAACCAGAAAGCCACGGCUAACUACGUGCCAGCAGCCGCGGUAAUACGUAGUGGCAAGCGUUGUCCGGGAAUUAUUGGGGCGUAAGCGCGGCGCAGCGGUCCUUUAAGUCUGAUGUGAAAGCCCACGGCUCACCGGUGGAGGGUCAUUG
rnacentral:rRNA from 1 species